CGGAGGGUGCAAGCGUUAUCCGGAUUCACUGGGUUUAAAGGGAGCGCAGGCGGACUGGUAAGUCAGUGGUGAAAUACCUGAGCUUAACUCGGGAACUGCCAUUGAUACUAUCAGUCUUGAAUGUUGUUGAGGUUUGCGGAAUGGGUCAUGUAGCGGUGAAAUGCAUAGAUAUGACCCGGAACACCUAUUGCGAAGGCAGCAGGCUAAACAAAUAUUGACGCUGAGGCUCGAAAGCGUGGGGAUCAAACAGGAUUAGAUACCCUGGUAGUCCAGCCCUAAACGAUGAUUACUCGACAUACGCGAUACACUGUGUGUGUCUGAGCGAAAGCAUUAAGUAAUCCACUGGGAAGUACGACCGCAAGGUUG
rnacentral:rRNA from 1 species